CUUUUGGGACAAGGUAAGGAAAUACUAUACUGUGGGUUUUGGUUUUUGUUUGGGGGGGAGCACAAUGAUGUUACUUUAAAAAAUGAGGAUUCUGUCAAAUACGUUUAGAUAAUACUGGGUUAAACAAAGUGAAACAGGUUUCUUUAUGGCAAGACAUUCAGAGCCUUUACUAUUAUUAUAUGUGUAUCAUGACUGUCCAAAAGGGGGUUAAAGAAUCUGAAGCAUCUCCCAACUUAUCUGACCCAUGAAAUAGAGAAUCUUAUCAGGUUACUGUCCCACAGAACACAUAUUGGGAAGCCACCAACAUUGACUGAUAUAGGUUAA